AUUUUAGAUUAUAAUAGCUUUGAAACAAUGAUAAUGAAAGUUUUUCAUCGUUCUAAAUUUAUGCUACAGUUAUGGUCGUAAAAGAUUAAGACAAAUCUUAUGGGUGCAAUUAUUCCACUGACACCUGCGAAAUUACCAAAAGAAUUGACCAUCGCUGUUUAUUAUAUUUUUUUAAAUGUUUUAGUUAAACAAUCUAACACUUUAUUA
rnacentral:lncRNA from 1 species